CAUGGCUCCUGCUAUCUCUUCCCUUGUUUCAUUUAUUCUGCUCGGACUUUUUACUUCCCUCCAUAUCUGAGCUGUACACGAUCGUUCUGCUUUAUUUCACGAUAGGAAUAUCGAAAAGUAGUCUCGAAUGAGGUCGAUAAGGUGCGCCGUGAGGCGCUCUUUCACAACACUCCACAGAAGACCCCUUCCAGUACCCACUUCCCAGCGUCUACCACAAAACGAACCUGUUGAUGAGGAGAUUUGUCCCGGCUACAAUUCAAAGAAAUUCUAUCCAGCAAGACCUGGAGAUGUGCUCAAUGAUCACUAUCAAAUCCUUGUAAAGGUUGGAUGGGGGGUCUCAUCUACCACAUGGUUUGCUCGUGACAUGCGAGGAUACCAAUGGGAACCUGAGGGUGUAGUGGCACUGAAGAUUACCAAUGCUGACUCCCAGACGGGUGCGAGAGAGCGCGAUAUUGAGGACCAUAUUGCUAAAGCAGACCCUUCUCACCGCGGAUGUGCUCUUUUUCGGGCAUAUCUGGAUUCAUUCGAAAUUUGCAGCCC
rnacentral:sRNA from 1 species